rnacentral:rRNA from 1 species
AUUGAACGCUGGCGGCAGGCCUAACACAUGCAAGUCGAACGGUAACAGGAAGCAGCUUGCUGCUUUGCUGACGAGUGGCGGACGGGUGAGUAAUGUCUGGGAAACUGCCUGAUGGAGGGGGAUAACUACUGGAAACGGUAGCUAAUACCGCAUAACGUCACAAGACCAAAGAGGGGGACCUUCGGGCCUCUUGCCAUCGGAUGUGCCCAGAUGGGAUUAGCUAGUAGGUGGGGUAACGGCUCACCUAGGCGACGAUCCCUAGCUGGUCUGAGAGGAUGACCAGCCACACUGGAAGUGAGACACGGUCCAGACUCCUACGGGAGGCAGCAGUGGGGAAUAUUGCACAAUGGGCGCAAGCCUGAUGCAGCCAGGCCGCGUGUAUGAAGAAGGCCUUCGGGUUGUAAAGUACUUUCAGCGGGGAGGAAGGGAGUAAAGUUAAUACCUUUGCUCAUUGACGUUACCCGCAGAAGAAGCACCGGCUAACUCCGUG